UGGGGAAUUUUGGACAAUGGGCGAAAGCCUGAUGCAGCCAUGCCGCGUGUGUGAAGAAGGCCUUCGGGUUGUAAAGCACUUUCAGCGAGGAGGAAGGUGGUGGACUUAAUACGUUCAUCAAUUGACGUUACUCGCAGAAGAAGCACCGGCUAACUCCGUGCCAGCAGCCGCGGUAAUACGGAGGGUGCAAGCGUUAAUCGGAAUUACUGGGCGUAAAGCGCACGCAGGCGGUUUGUUAAGUCAGAUGUGAAAUCCCCGGGCUCAACCUGGGAACUGCAUUUGAAACUGGCAAGCUAGAGUCUCGUAGAGGGGGGUAGAAUUCCAGGCGUAGCGGUGAGAUGCGUAGAGAUCUGGAGGAAUACCGGUGGCGAAGGCGGCCCCCUGGACGAAGACUGACGCUCAGGUGCGAAAGCGUGGGGAGCAAAACAGGAUUAGAUACCCUGGUAGUCCACGCUGUAAACGAUGUCGAUUUUGGAGGUUGUGCCCUUGAGGCGUGGCUUCCGGAGCUAACGCGUUAAAUCGACCGCCUGGGGAGUACGGCCGCAAGGUUAAAACUCAAAUGAAUUGACGGGGGUCAUAGCUGUUUCCUG
rnacentral:rRNA from 1 species